rnacentral:lncRNA from 1 species
CCAGUGUUAUGAUUGGUUCUCUUGGGUGGAUAUUUGUCCGGAAUGGGAAACUAAAAAGCGAUUCAUCAAAUGAUCAUGCCAUUUGAAGCUGUUCGGUGGGUAAGUUUCUAGGAGGGCCUGGUAUUACUGAGUAAAGCAGUGUGCUCCUUUUGUAAAUCUAUAGUCAGACAAAAUAGACAAGAAACAAGCUCAUUACCCCAACUUUUAGUUUAUUCCCACCCACCCCCCACCCCCAACACUUCUACCUCAGAGAAACUAUUGUCUAGAUUUGAGUCUUUGAAUGUUUUAGACAGAAAAAUGGAUGAAAUUUGUUCUUUGUUCAUGCUCAAAUGGGCCCGUUGUCUACAACACGCCUUGGGGAAGCGUUCGGCCUGGUAUUCAAGUAUCUCCGCGGAUCUACCCCAGCCAUUAGAGCAGAUAGAGCUCAGUCAGCGCCGACCCGCCCCUUCCCCUGCGGCCGGCGCGGACCAGUCGCGUCCACUCCUGGCCGCCGCGGGGCCCGGGCUCCUUGACCGUCCUCCAAGGCCACUCGGAGCGCAGCUUCCCUGAGCCCAGAGCCUCCCCGCGCUCCCAGCGGGCGCCCGGGGGCUCGUGUCCUGCUGCUCUCGCCCAAGGCGGCCGGUCUCGGCCUGCUGCCGGUCCUUGCUGGGUCUGCGCCGCUGCCCGGGAUUCCCUGGAGAGAUUCGCGGCGUCUCCCGAGAGGUGGCGCGCGGUGAGGGCAGUCGAGGUCCUGGCGCCGCGGCCUCCUGCCGGGUACGAAGCCCUGGGAGCGCCUCUCCGCCGCCGCCCGUCGCCCCGGAAGUCGCGCCCUGAGAUUCCGGGCACUUUCUUUUUCUUCUUUGGAAUGGUGUGAUGUCCGCGGUUGUUUUUGUCCUUAUACCUGAAGACGCCACGCUUUUCAAAAGGUGCGCGCAACUACGGCGCGGAGGUGCGGGGAACCUGGGCCGCAAGCGCCGAAGCCACUCGGUGAAGAAGGAGCACUGGCCUUCGACCCGUCGUCGAAGACCUGGGCUGAGCGAUGGUGGCACCAGGCCCAAGGGAUUUGAUUUUCAAAAGGCGGAACCGGAGCGCUGCCAUCAGAAGGCGCGGCCUGCCACCUGGACAAACGCGGUCUCCCCCAGAGCCCGGUUGCGCCCCAAAGCCGGGUUCCAUCCCAUCUCCGACUAAGACACUUCCUGAUUUGCCCCUCGCCAGACUCCAGCAAUUUUCUGGGUCCCCGGGAAGCUGAUUUCGCCUCUGGGCUUCCAUGAUUAGUGGCAGCUGGAGUGCUGCUCCCCAACCUGGGCCCACUUUAGGGUGUGUGGGGCAGGGAGGAGGGUGGGAUCACUCUUAAUCUCGUGUCACAGCUAAAUAAUUUACUCAAGGUCUUCUCUUCCUGCCAGUUCCCUUCCCUGUUCCACUGCCCUUGACUUCCUGCUUUGUGAAGCCCCGGGGAAAGAAAGGCCAACUCUUAAUAAAAGUUAAUAUUAAUAGAGGCCCCAUGCUCCGGGCUUCUCCAACACCUCAUCUUCCCCUCUC